GGGAUAAAAACCCUUAGGUAUAUAUAUAUAUAUAUCUCUACCAGCCCAAAGAAAGAAAAAAAAAUUAUCUGCAACCAGUUCCUCGGACCCACAGCGGCACGCCGACACAUCGAGUCCCUCGAGUCGGGUUCUUCUUCCUGCAGUUCCUUUCAUUAUAGACUUGCAGUCAUCUGCUCAUCUUCUUCCUGCAUCCAAGCUUGCUUUGUUUUCUGAUUUGCUCCAAACGGGAGAUUUGGGACACAGCAAGACAAGAAAGGUUUCAAAGUCUCAGGGGCAGCAUUUUAUGUGGAGCAGAUUGUUGUGUUCUUGUUUAUAAUGUGAAUGUUCUAAGAUCAUUUGAAACACUUCAGAACUGGCAUGAAGAGUUUCUCAUACAGGUAGGUCCAGCUGACACUGAGGCAUUUCCAUUUAUACUACUCGGCAACAAAAUUGAUAUAGAUGGCCGAAAUAGCAGAGCGGUAUGGACAUACAUAAAAUAUAUAGAGGCUGAGGCAUUUCAUCAUCGUUUUUAUGCCCCCCCCCCCUGUUAUAUGUUUUGAUUGGAAAAAAUAAUAAAGGCAUGAGGAUGAACCUCCCAUUGGGUUCCAAACCUCAAAAAGAAAAAAGAAAAAAAAAAAUAUAUAUAUAUAUAUAGAGAAAUUUUAAAAAUUUUGUGCACUUGUAAUUAGCCUAGACGGGUUUCGGAUCCUGGAUCCGCCCCUGGCCAUAUGUUGGGUUUUUCUGAUCUAAAAGAAAUAAACUCAA